UCGAAGCGAGUGAUACCCAGCUUCCAGGAAAAGCCUCUAAGCUUCAGUCUAAGAGUGACCGUACCGCAAACCGACACAGGUGGGCUGGUAGAGAAUACCAAGGCGCUUGAGAGAACUCAGGAGAAGGAACUCGGCAAAUUGAUACCGUAACUUCGGGAGAAGGUAUGCCCCUGGUACGUGAAGGCCCUCGCGGCCGGAGCGGAACGGGGUCGCAGAGGAUCGGUGGCUGCGACUGUUUAUUAAAAACACAGCACUCUGCAAACACGAAAGUGGACGUAUAGGGUGUGACGCCUGCCCGGUGCCGGAAGAUUAAGUGAUGGGGUGCAAGCUCUUGAUCGAAGCCCCGGUAAACGGCGGCCGUAACAAUAACGGUCCUAAGGUAGCGAAAUUCCUUGUCGGGUAAGUUCCGACCUGCACGAAUGGCGUAACGAUGGCCACACUGUCUCCUCCUGAGACUCAGCGAAGUUGAAAUGUUUGUGAAGAUGCAAUCUCCCCGCGGCUAGACGGAAAGACCCCAUGAACCUUUACUGUAGCUUUGCAUUGGACUUUGACGGGACUUGUGUAGGAUAGGUGGGAGGCUAUGAAACCGGGACGCCAGUUCCGGCGGAGCCACCCUUGAAAUACCACCCUGGUGUCGUCGAGGUUCUAACCCAGGCCUGUGAAUCCAGGUCGGGGACCGUGCAUGGUGGGCAGUUUGACUGGGGCGGUCUCCUCCCAAAAGGUAACGGAGGAGUACGAAGGUCACCUAGGUACGGUCGGACAUCGUACUGAUAGUGCAAUGGCAAAAGGUGGCUUGACUGCGAGACCCACAAGUCGAGCAGGUGCGAAAGCAGGUCAUAGUGAUCCGGUGGUUCUGUAUGGAAGGGCCAUCGCUCAACGGAUAAAAGGUACUCUGGGGAUAACAGGCUGAUUCCGCCCAAGAGUUCACAUCGACGGCGGAGUUUGGCACCUCGAUGUCGGCUCAUCACAUCCUGGGGCUGUAGCCGGUCCCAAGGGUAUGGCUGUUCGCCAUUUAAAGUGGUACGUGAGCUGGGUUUAAAACGUCGUGAGACAGUUUGGUCCCUAUCUGCCGUGGGCGCUGGAAGUUUGAGAGGGCCUGCUCCUAGUACGAGAGGACCGGAGUGGACGCACCCCUGGUGUACCGGUUGUGACGCCAGUCGCAUCGCCGGGUAGCUAUGUGCGGAAGAGAUAACCGCUGAAAGCAUCUAAGCGGGAAACUCGCCUCAAGAUGAGACUUCCCCGGGGCCUCGAGCCCCCUGAAGGGUC
rnacentral:rRNA from 1 species